rnacentral:rRNA from 2 species
GUACCCAUGCCGAACACAGAAGUUAAGCCUCUUAACGCCGAUGGUACUACGAUGGAAACGUCGUGGGAGAGUAGGUAGUCGCCAAAC